AAAAGUCUGCCAGAGUUGGCAAGAGUUGCUGCUGAUGGUGUUGUCAUCUUUUCUGGUUAUCCAGGUCAGCAAAGAGCUAAAGACGGAGAAGUGGCAAAAUUUGGCCGUCCAGCCAAAUACGAAGCUCGUCUUGGCGG